rnacentral:rRNA from 1 species
CCCUGCACUCUGGGACAAGCCCUGGAAACGGGGUCUAAUACCGGAUAUGACCGUCUGCCGCAUGGUGGAUGGUGUAAAGCUCCGGCGGUGCAGGAUGAGCCCGCGGCCUAUCAGCUUGUUGGUGAGGUAGUGGCUCACCAAGGCGACGACGGGUAGCCGGCCUGAGAGGGCGACCGGCCACACUGGGACUGAGACACGGCCCAGACUCCUACGGGAGGCAGCAGUGGGGAAUAUUGCACAAUGGGCGAAAGCCUGAUGCAGCGACGCCGCGUGAGGGAUGACGGCCUUCGGGUUGUAAACCUCUUUCAGCAGGGAAGAAGCGAAAGUGACGGUACCUGCAGAAGAAGCGCCGGCUAACUACGUGCCAGCAGCCGCGGUAAUACGUAGGGCGCAAGCGUUGUCCGGAAUUAUUGGGCGUAAAGAGCUCGUAGGCGGCUUGUCACGUCGGUUGUGAAAGCCCGGGGCUUAACCCCGGGUCUGCAGUCGAUACGGGCAGGCUAGAGUUCGGUAGGGGAGAUCGGAAUUCCUGGUGUAGCGGUGAAAUGCGCAGAUAUCAGGAGGAACACCGGUGGCGAAGGCGGAUCUCUGGGCCGAUACUGACGCUGAGGAGCGAAAGCGUGGGGAGCGAACAGGAUUAGAUACCCUGGUAGUCCACGCCGUAAACGGUGGGCACUAGGUGUGGGCAACAUUCCACGUUGUCCGUGCCGCAGCUAACGCAUUAAGUGCCCCGCCUGGGGAGUACGGCCGCAAGGCUAAAACUCAAAGGAAUUGACGGGGGCCCGCACAAGCGGCGGAGCAUGUGGCUUAAUUCGACGCAACGCGAAGAACCUUACCAAGGCUUGACAUACACCGGAAACGUCUGGAGACAGGCGCCCCCUUGUGGUCGGUGUACAGGUGGUGCAUGCCUGUCGUCAGCUCGUGUCGUGAGAUGUUGGGUUAAGUCCCGCAACGAGCGCAACCCUUGUCCCGUGUUGCCAGCAGGCCCUUGUGGUGCUGGGGACUCACGGGAGACCGCCGGGGUCAACUCGGAGGAAGGUGGGGACGACGUCAAGUCAUCAUGCCCCUUAUGUCUUGGGCUGCACACGUGCUACAAUGGCCGGUACAAUGAGCUGCGAUACCGUGAGGUGGAGCGAAUCUCAAAAAGCCGGUCUCAGUUCGGAUUGGGGUCUGCAACUCGACCCCAUGAAGUCGGAGUCGCUAGUAAUCGCAGAUCAGCAUUGCUGCGGUGAAUACGUUCCCGGGCCUUGUACAC